GCUUGUCUCAAAGAUUAAGCCAUGCAUGUCUAAGUAUAAACGACUUUAUACUGUGAAACUGCGAAUGGCUCAUUAUAUCAGUUAUAGUUUAUUUGAUGGUCCUUGCUACUUGGAUAACCGUAGUAAUUCUAGAGCUAAUACAUGCAUCAAACCCCGACUUCUGGAAGGGGUGUAUUUAUUAGAUGGAAACCAAUGCAGGGCAACCUGGAAUAUGGUGAUUCAUAAUAACUUUCAGAUCGAUCGCAAGAUCGAUGCAUCAUUCAAGUUUCUGCCCUAUCAGCUUUGGAUGGUAGGGUAUUGGCCUACCAUG
rnacentral:rRNA from 1 species